CAGCCGCCGCGGUAAAACCAGCACCUCAAGUGGUCAGGAUGAUUAUUGGGCCUAAAGCAUCCGUAGCCGGCUCUGUAAGUUUUCGGUUAAAUCUGUAUGCUCAACAUACAGGCUGCCGGGAAUACUGCAGAGCUAGGGAGUGGGAGAGGUAGACGGUACUCGGUAGGAAGGGGUAAAAUCCUUUGAUCUAUUGAUGACCACCUGUGGCGAAGGCGGUCUACCAGAACACGUCCGACGGUGAGGGAUGAAAGCUGGGGGAGCAAACCGGAUUAGAUACCCGGGUAGUCCCAGCUGUAAACUAUGCAAACUCAGUGAUGCAUUGGCUUGUGGCCAAUGCAGUGCUGCAGGGAAGCCGUUAAGUUUGCCGCCUGGGAAGUACGUACGCAAGUAU
rnacentral:rRNA from 1 species